GAUAAGUAAAGACAGGUAUUAAGGAAAAGCAGCAGGCUAGAUAGACUACUGAACGAGGAAACAAUGCACCCGGACACAGUGAUGUCAGUUGGUUUUGUGGGAUCCAAAACAAAAUUUUGUAAAAUGCUACAAGCAGAAUUCCACAUUACACAACACCCCCUCUACCAAUAAUAAUAACAUGCUCUCAGAACAAAGUUACUCCUCAAUACAUAUUUUUUUAAAAAAGCAACAACUGGCAUGUGAACAAACCAUUAGCUGUCAUAAACAGAAUGCUAUCGCUGCUAAAAGUAAGGCCCACUCUGCAAUGUAUCAGCAAAAAGAGCAACAUCAUUAAAGGUGUGAAUUCCUGCAACGUGGUUCAGAGUGCACAGUGAUUGGUCCAUCCUGUCCAAACUGCUCCUUGGUUUUGUGCACUUGUCCAAUGAAAUCAAUGAAGCCCUCUCCAGUUUUUGGCACUCCUUGCUCGGGCCAGUCAGUGAACUGGAAUUGGCGGAUUGUUCUGGACUGGCCAUCCUGUGAAGCAGCAAAUACAGAGUUUAAGACAUUUAAGAGGCACAUUGCACUGCAGGUGAUGCCUUGGCAUAUUCAGAUGGGGCCAAUCCUGAAGGGCCGCGCUGACACUGGCUGGAUAAUGAAACACAGCACGGAGACAAACCAUGGCAGACAGGAUGAUCUGAGGAGGGACACUGGCACUAGAUGUGGAACAUGCAUUGGUUCACAGAUGUGACCUCAGGGUUCCUUUGACCCAAGCUAUCAAGGGCUGCAGAGUCUGCUGUCUCCUGUCGUGUAAAUAAUGUAAA